GGCUGGUCCGAACAUAGUGAGUUCUCUCAACUGAUUGUUUACAGUCAAUUGCAAAUGGAAAUGCUUGUUCUAUUUCUUUCCCUCUUCUUACUACUGCACUUGACUAGCCUAAA
ensembl:misc_RNA Y_RNA Y RNA